AUUGAACGCUGGCGGCAGGCUUAACACAUGCAAGUCGAACGAGUGGCGGACGGGUGAGUAAUGCUUGUGAAUCUAGCUUAUGGAGGGGGAUAACUACGGGAAACUGUAGCUAAUACCGCGUACCAUAGGAUGAGCCCAAGUGGGAUUAGGUAGUUGGUGAGGUAAAGGCGCACCAAGCCGAAGAUCUCUAGCUGGUCUGAGAGGAUGACCAGCAACACGGGGACUGAGACACGGCCCAGACUCCUACGGAAGGCAGCAGUGGGGAAUAUUGCGCAAUGGGGGCAACCUGACGCAGCCAUGCCGCGUGAAUGAAGAAGGCCUUCGGGUUGUAAAGUUCUUUCGGUAGCGAGGCGUUAACUACAGAAGAAGCACCGGCUAACUCCGUGCCAGCAGCCGCGGUAAUUC
rnacentral:rRNA from 1 species